rnacentral:rRNA from 1 species
GCAGCCGCCACGGUAAUACGUAGGGUGCGAGCGUUAAUCGGAAUUACUGUGCGUAAAGCGUGCGCAGGCGGUUAUAUAAGACAGAUGUGAAAUCCCCGGGCUCAACCUGGGACCUGCAUUUGUGACUGUAUAGCUAGAGUACGGUAGAGGGGGAUGGAAUUCCGCGUGUAGCAGUGAAAUGCGUAGAUAUGCGGAGGAACACCGAUGGCGAAGGCAAUCCCCUGGACCUGUACUGACGCUCAUGCACGAAAGCGUGGGGAGCAAACAGGAUUAGAGACCCCAGUAGUCCCUGUCUCUUAUA